UUUUAUAUAGUCUUUUUGGCCAACCUGGUACAUGUCAUACAAUGGGAGUUUGCACCCCUUUAAAUUGAUUUAGUCUAAAAAAAAAAUGGUGCUUAGUCCCAAUAAAUAUAAUUGACAUGGAGAAAAUGCGUGCACACAUUAGGCCUUCCCCACAGGAAAGCAUUGCCGCAAAGAUUGAGGAUGUCCAGCAUUGUUUCACAGAGUCAAACUAGACACCUACUAGAGGCAGUCUUAGCACUGAAAUCUAAACGUUUCUCAAUGUUGGUUGCUCUAAAACUACAAUAUUUUACAUAGAAGGACUAAGGGGGGCAAUACACCCAGGCCACGUCAGUGAAAUGUCC